GACAUUUGGUAGAGAAUGUUGAAGUCACCUGGUCCCAGCAGACCCCAGAGAAUGGCCACAUUCGCUGGUGCUGGGGCAAGGUUGUUAAGGGUGAAGGCUGGUGCCAGAUGUGU
ensembl:rRNA 5S_rRNA 5S ribosomal RNA